rnacentral:snRNA from 1 species
GUGCUCGCUUCGGCAGCACACAUACAGAGAAGAUUAGCGUGGCCCCUGCGCGAGGGUGACACGCAAAUUCGUGAAGCGUUUCCUGUUUUU